UACGUAGGGCGCAAGCGUUAUCCGGAAUUAUUGGGCGUAAAGAGUUCGUAGGUGGUUUGUUAAGUCUGAUGUUAAAGACUGGGGCUCAACCUCGGGACUGCAUUGGAUACUGGCAGACUUGAGUGCGGUAGAGGCAAGUGGAAUUCCAGGUGUAGCGGUGAAAUGCGCAGAUAUCAGGAAGAACACCCGUGGCUAAGGCGGCUCUCUAGUACGUGACUGACGCUGAGGAGCGAAAGCGUGGGGAGCGAACAGG
rnacentral:rRNA from 1 species